UACAGAGGGUGCGAGCGUUAAUCGGAAUUACUGGGCGUAAAGGGCGCGUAGGCGGCUUGACAAGUCCCGGGUGAAAUCCCUCGGCUCAACCGAGGAACUGCCUUGGAAACUGUCUGGCUUGAGGCCGGGAGAGGGUAGUGGAAUUCCCAGUGUAGCGGUGAAAUGCGUAGAUACUGGGAGGAACACCGGUGGCGAAGGCGGCUACCUGGACCGGUUCUGACGCUGAGGCGCGAAAGCGUGGGUAGCAAACAGG
rnacentral:rRNA from 1 species